CAUGCAAGUCGAGCGAAGCGAUCGAGAUGAAGUUUUCGGAUGGAUUCCUGAUUGACUGAGCGGCGGACGGGUGAGUAACGCGUGGGUAACCUGCCUCAUACAGGGGGAUAACAGUUAGAAAUGACUGCUAAUACCGCAUAAGCGCACAGUACCACAUGGUACGGUGUGAAAAACUCCGGUGGUAUGAGAUGGACCCGCGUCUGAUUAGCUAGUUGGUGGGGUAACGGCCCACCAAGGCGACGAUCAGUAGCCGACCUGAGAGGGUGAUCGGCCACAUUGGGACUGAGACACGGCCCAAACUCCUACGGGAGGCAGCAGUGGGGAAUAUUGCACAAUGGGGGAAACCCUGAUGCAGCAACGCCGCGUGAGUGAAGAAGUAUUUCGGUAUGUAAAGCUCUAUCAGCAGGGAAGAAAAUGACGGUACCUGACUAAGAAGCCCCGGCUAACUACGUGCCAGCAGCCGCGGUAAUACGUAGGGGGCAAGCGUUAUCCGGAUUUACUGGGUGUAAAGGGAGCGUAGACGGCAGCGCAAGUCUGAAGUGAAAGCCCGGGGCUCAACCCCGGAAUGGCUUUGGAAACUGCGCGGCUAGAGUACCGGAGGGGUAAGCGGAAUUCCUAGUGUAGCGGUGAAAUGCGUAGAUAUUAGGAGGAACACCAGUGGCGAAGGCGGCUUACUGGACGGUAACUGACGUUGAGGCUCGAAAGCGUGGGGAGCAAACAGGAUUAGAUACCCUGGUAGUCCACGCGGUAAACGAUGAAUGCUAGGUGUUGGUGAGCAAAGCUCAUCGGUGCCGCCGCAAACGCAUUAAGCAUUCCACCUGGGG
rnacentral:rRNA from 1 species